UGGGAAGUAGUGUAAAUGGAAAACACGCUAGAUUCUGACUCUAGAGACGAAUACCGCUAGUGUGGGUUCGAGUCCCACCUUCCCACCCA
rnacentral:tRNA from 1 species